rnacentral:antisense_RNA from 1 species
CUUGAUCGAUCCCAACCACAGCGGGUGCGCUGCCCCCCGCGCAGCACCGUAAGUGGCGAUCAGGGCGCCGGCCUC